rnacentral:rRNA from 1 species
UAGGGAAUCUUCGGCAAUGGACGAAAGUCUGACCGAGCAACGCCGCGUGAGUGAAGAAGGUUUUCGGAUCGUAAAACUCUGUUGUUAGAGAAGAACAAGGACGUUAGUAACUGAACGUCCCCUGACGGUAUCUAACCAGAAAGCCACGGCUAACUACGUGCCAGCAGCCGCGGUAAUACGUAGGUGGCAAGCGUUGUCCGGAUUUAUUGGGCGUAAAGCGAGCGCAGGCGGUUUCUUAAGUCUGAUGUGAAAGCCCCCGGCUCAACCGGGGAGGGUCAUUGGAAACUGGGAGACUUGAGGGCAGAAGAGGAGAGUGGAAUUCCAUGUGUAGCGGUGAAAUGCGUAGAUAUAUGGGGGAACACCAGUGGCGAAGGCGGCUCUCUGGUCUGUAACUGACGCUGAGGCUCGAAAGCGUGGGGAGCAAACAGG